UGAGGAAUAUUGGUCAAUGGACGAGAGUCUGAACCAGCCAAGUAGCGUGCAGGAUGACGGCCCUAUGGGUUGUAAACUGCUUUUGUUUGGGAAUAAUCGACAUUACGUGUAAUGUUUUGCAUGUACCAUUCGAAUAAGGACCGGCUAAUUCCGUGCCAGCAGCCGCGGUAAUACGGAAGGUCCAGGCGUUAUCCGGAUUUAUUGGGUUUAAAGGGAGUGUAGGCGGUUGGUUAAGCGUGUUGUGAAAUGUAGAUGCUCAACUUUUAGAUUGCAGCGCGAACUGGCAGACUUGAGUGCGCACAACGUAGGCGGAAUUCAUGGUGUAGCGGUGAAAUGCUUAGAUAUCAUGACGAACUCCGAUUGCGAAGGCAGCUUACGGGAGCGCAACUGACGCUAAAGCUCGAAGGUGCGGGUAUCGAACAGG
rnacentral:rRNA from 1 species